GGAAUAUUGAUUCUUCAAGAAAGUUCAAUUUCCUGACGUGCGGCAUGCAAUUGCAAAAUUGUUGUGGAAGCUGAUCUUUUAUCCAAUCAGCAAAUUGGAAUGGAAAAUUACUAUGGUACAAAAUCUCCCAAAAAAGAAAUGUGUCAAUGGUAACUCCGAAUCGAAAUUUUUGCUUGGGGGCCACCUUGAACGUAAACAAAGCUGUACUCUGAGGAAGGUUCCAAGACUUUGAGUCGUUGAGGAAGCUCAUAAGUGUUCUUUUCUGGCGUUGGAGAGAGACCCCAAAGAGGCCCUGAAAGGUCCUCUAUCACCAACUUUAGGUCUGUAAUUGGCUUCUGGGAUAUGUUCUUGAUUAUUACCUUGUGGCGAUAAUACGUUGACGUUCCAACAGCCCAUGUGUUAGUUAUGGUGUGAAGGAAUUCCGCUGGGACCCCUGGUGUCGUUGUAUGGCGAACUGGUGAUUCUUCAUGAUAGUAUCCUGUUGCUCCUCCAUAUACACUAUGAAGCUUGGAGAAGAGGCCAACAAGAGGAGCAUUGCCAGAAAGUGUAGGUUCAGUUUGUUCAUAGUUAGAACGGUCAUCAGAGAAGUUAUCAUUCUGAUCAGGACCUCCGACGAGGGCUCCAAAUAUGCAAUUAGGAUUUCCCUCCGAACGACGAUACCAUGUUUCGAAUCCUUGCACGCAUUCAACAACGGAGUGGAGAGCAAAUAUAGAGGCAAUGGAAGAAUCCCUGUGGUGAACAUGGAUUGGAUAUUUUGUUCCAUAUCCAACCAAGUAGCUUAUGGUUUUGGGGUUUUUACCAAGAAUGUAAUCAGCCUGCGAUUUGGCAAAAUUGAGGAGCUCCUGAGGUGGGAUCUGCCCUUCUGGACAACUAAGCUUGGCAUUUGCAGCUGAAAGAUAAUCAGAGUAGAUGGAAAGAAGAAGUGCCGCAGCAGAGGCAUACUGCAAGUUGUUCCAUUCUCGAACGUACAUUAAACCCCCAGGAGUUGUCUGGAUGUCGUAGCCGUCAUUCUUUUUCAGACAAGCACAUGCAAAGCAAUCUGCUUUGGCUUGAUAUUGCUUUAGGGUGGCAGUGUAUGCGCCACCACGUCCUUCUAGCAGUAUCUGCACCCAGUGUUCAAUUUUGUGUCACAGGUUUAGAAUAUUUUUGUUAAUAAGGAAUUGUUCUACUGAAAUUUUCCUUGUUGGAAGAAGGAACAAGGCCAAGGGAGGAUACAAAUCAA
rnacentral:misc_RNA from 1 species